GGAUGACCAGCCACACUGGAACUGAGACACGGUCCAGACUCCUACGGGAGGCAGCAGUGGGGAAUAUUGCACAAUGGGCGCAAGCCUGAUGCAGCCAUGCCGCGUGUAUGAAGAAGGCCUUCGGGUUGUAAAGUACUUUCAGCGGGGAGGAAGGGAGUAAAGUUAAUACCUUUGCUCAUUGACGUUACCCGCAGAAGAAGCACCGGCUAACUCCGUGCCAGCAGCCGCGGUAAUACGGAGGGUGCAAGCGUUAAUCGGAAUUACUGGGCGUAAAGCGCACGCAGGCGGUUUGUUAAGUCAGAUGUGAAAUCCCCGGGCUCAACCUGGGAACUGCAUCUGAUACUGGCAAGCUUGAGUCUCGUAGAGGGGGGUAGAAUUCCAGGUGUAGCGGUGAAAUGCGUAGAGAUCUGGAGGAAUACCGGUGGCGAAGGCGGCCCCCUGGACGAAGACUGACGCUCAGGUGCGAAAGCGUGGGGAGCAAACAGGAUUAGAUACCCUGGUAGUCCACGCCGUAAACGAUGUCGACUUGGAGGUUGUGCCCUUGAGGCGUGGCUUCCGGAGCUAACGCGUUAAGUCGACCGCCUGGGGAGUACGGCCGCAAGGUUAAAACUCAAAUGAAUUGACGGGGGCCCGCACAAGCGGUGGAGCAUGUGGUUUAAUUCGAUGCAACGCGAAGAACCUUACCUGGUCUUGACAUCCACGGAAGUUUUCAGAGAUGAGAAUGUGCCUUCGGGAACCGUGAGACAGGUGCUGCAUGGCUGUCGUCAGCUCGUGUUGUGAAAUGUUGGGUUAAGUCCCGCAACGAGCGCAACCCUUAUCCUUUGUUGCCAGCGGUCCGGCCGGGAACUCAAAGGAGACUGCCAGUGAUAAACUGGAGGAAGGUGGGGAUGGCGUCAAGUCAUCAUGGCCCUUACGACCAGGGCUACACACGUGCUACAAUGGCGCAUACAAAGAGAAGCGACCUCGCGAGAGCAAGCGGACCUCAUAAAGUGCGUCGUAGUCCGGAUUGGAGUCUGCAACUCGACUCCAUGAAGUCGGAAUCGCUAGUAAUCGUGGAUCAGAAUGCCACGGUGAAUACGUUCCCGGGCCUUGUACACACCGCCCGUCACACCAUGGGAGUGGGUUGCAAAAGAAGUAGGUAGCUUAACCUUCGGGAGGGCGCUUACCACUUUGUGAUUCAUGACUGGGGUGAAGUCGUAACAAGGUGACCGUAGGGGAACCUGCGGUUG
rnacentral:rRNA from 1 species